CAAAUUAAUAUUUUAGCCCCUGGUUAUUUCACGGUGAGUUUAAUAUAUAGAAACAAUUGUAUGUUAUGUGUUAUAUGUGCUACGUGCUAUUCAGUGUUAUUAUUCCGGGUCAUUUUCUCGGGUUAUUUUUAUUCGCUAUUUUUAAUAACAAAGAAAUACCUUUGACCAUGUGAUUAGUGAAAGGACUUAGAUUCACAUUGGUACUGGUAUGUAGCCUCUGUCCAUGUGGAACAUGUCUCCGUAAGAGAAUGAAUUCUAUUCUAUGAUAGUGGCAGAAGGUUAGACAGGGCUAUAAGCUUGAAAUCUACGAAAAUGUUAAUCUGAAGUUGUAUAUCUUCUGUGUCGUUUGGGCCAAAGCUUUAUUGAUGUAUAUGAAGCAUGGAAAUUUUCAUGUUUCAUUGAUUGUAUAUCUUUAAAUCAAGUCAAUGAUUGAUAUGGAAUGUUGGUCACAUGAUUCACAUAUGCCCUUGUUGCUCCCUAUUUCUCUUUGCUUCAACCAUAUUGAAGUAUAUAUAUUGCAUAACGUUAUAUUGUAUCUAUUAUUGAACUCACUAAGCGUCACCGCUUACCCUAUCAAUGUUUAACAAAUUGCAGGAGAUAAGCAUCCAGUAUAGUCAUAUACUGGUAGAAGAUUUUUGAAUACUUUGAAACUAUUAUAUCGAUAGAAGUUUAUGAAUAGUUUGAAACUAUUAUAUUUUGCACUCCCAUAUGUAUAAAACUAUAGAAUCCUGGGAAGUUAUGUAAUAUAUAACACUUUAAAAUAGUCGGUUUGUAUCCAGUAGUUUGUAACCUCUUUAUCAAUGUAAAAUAUUGUUUUUAUGAAUAUGCAAGUAGCAUGUUUUGGAGUAACUAUAUUGUCGUGUAUGAAAGUUUGGGUCUUUCAUAAAUACGAAAGUUAGGGUCUUUCAAUCAUGGUAUCAGAGCAGUAGUUUGAGUGAACUAAAUUCCACGGAUUGGUAUUUAGAUUUAAACUAUUGGAAGUUCAAUAUAUGAACUAAAUCAUUGUAAGUAUAGGGAUACAAACCAUAAGAAAUAUAUAAGUAAAAGUAUUAGGUAAUAAUAAACCCUAAUAUUCUAAAACACAAUGUUACUCUGUAUUGCAUAGCAAUGGCUGAACAGGUUAGUAGCCAUACCCCUGAGGUUGGUGGACGUCCUCAACCCGAGGAAGUGAAUACUCCAGUAUCUCCUCGUGAGGAGUGACUCUUGGGUAAAAUUAUCGGUGUUAUUCGACAGACUCUCGAAGAACACAAAAAGAAUGUUGAUAAGGGAAAAGAGAAAGCCACUGGAGAAUCUUCAAAAGGAGAGGUGAAGCGUCCCUCGUUCAAAGAUUUCAAGAGUAGUGGUGCUACAGAGUUUUCCGGUGUUCUCAAUCCCAUUAUUGUUCUUACUUGGAUCCAGAACACAGAGAAAGUGUUUCGUAUUUCUCAUGUGGAUAAUGAAGACAAGGCUAACUAUGCUUCCGCAAUGCUCAUCGGAGAAGCCUUGGUCUGGUGGGAAGCAACAUAUGAAGCUCUCAACGGGUUUGACCAGGAGAAUUUAGCCUGGGAAAUGUUUAAAACUCGUUUGCUAGAGAAGUAUUGUCCUCUAGACAUGAGGAGGAGAUUGGAGAAGGAAUUCCUCGAGCUUAAACAAGGAGGAAUGACUGUGAAUGAGUAUGAAACUCAGUUUAAUCAAAGAGCAAGGUUUGCUACAAAGUAUAUUCCAACUGAAGACGAGAAAAUUCAGUUAUUCAUGGAGGGACUACGACAUGAGAUCCACGAUUUCGUUGCCAAUCGAGAAGUUCUGUCAUUUGAUAAAGCCGUUGAAUAUGCUCGAAGACGUGAGCAUGACUUAGAAAUACGUGGUGCCACUGUUACUGCUCCGAAGCAUCCACGUACUGAAAGAACUGUUCCUGUUCCUUCUUUUCUACCAGCUCAAUCCGUUCGGACUGAACCUGGUAAUCAAGUUCAAACUCAAAGUGUCUCUCGUGGACGCGGUAGAUCACAAUCUUUUUCUAUGCAAUCGCCUUCAUGUCGUAUUUGUGGAAGGAAUCAUCCGGGCCAAUGCAAAAUAGACAAGGAAUCCAUUGUCUGUUAUGGAUGCGGAGAAAAGGGUCAUAUAAAGCCAGCUUGCCCAAGAAAGGAUGUUACUUGCUAUGCAUGUGGUAUUACUGGCCACAAGAAGCGUUUUUGCCCUACUCUUACUAGUCAGAUGACGGGAAGUCAAGCUUCUGUUCAACAACCGGCGAGAAGCCAAGUCCCUGUUCAACAAUCAAAGGGUACUCCAACUAAAAAGGAGGAGGUGCCAAAAGCUAGGGGUCGUGCAUUCCAGAUUACCUCAGAGGAGGCACGCGAGGACCCGAAUGUUGUGACGGGUACAUUUCUUGUCAACUCUAGACCUGCUCACAUCUUAUUUGAUUCUGGUGCCUCAGAUUCUUUUGUGUCUUACGAAUUUGCGCAUUCCUUUCAAAUUGCUUGCUUUGUACUUGCGCAACCAUUUCACGUAGAUACUGCGGGAAGUAUAUCAUUACUUGCUGAUAAAGUCUAUAGAGAUUGUGUUAUAGAAAUUGAAGGCUAUACUUUUCUCGCUAACCUGAUCCCUAUCUCCUUGCCCAACUUUGAUAUUAUUCUCGGCAUGGAUUGGUUAUCAAAGAACCACGCAGAACUCUUGUGCUAUGAAAAGAUAGUACGUAUUCCUAUUGAAGGGGAGAAUCCUAUCUAUGUCUACGGUGAACAAAGACUCUUAAAAAUAAUCUCUUUCCUUAAAGCUCGAAAAUUCAUAUCGAAAGGGUGUUCUAUCUAUCUGGCCUACACAGUUGAUUUCUUAAAAGAGGAGAAGAAAAUUGUAAAUGAUGUUCUAGUUGUUAACGAAUAUCCUGACGUUUUCCCUGAUGACUUGCCUGGCCUUCCUCCGGAUAGGCAAGUAGAAUUCCGAAUUGACCUUGUGCCUGGUGCUGCUCCGAUUGCAAGGACUCACUAUCGUCUUGCGCCAGCUGAGAUGAAAGAAAUGAUGAUCCAACUGCAGGAACUGCUUGACAAGGGUUUCAUUCGACCGAGUACCUCUCCUUGGGGUGCUUCGGUACUGUUUGUCAAAAAAAAAGAUGGAUCGAUGCGGAUGUGCAUUGAUUAUCGUGAGCUGAAUAAGGUGACUAUCAAGAACAAGUACCCACUACCUCGCAUCGAUGAUUUAUUCGAUCAAAUUCAGGGUGUUAGCUAUUUCUCAAAGAUUGAUUUAAGAUCUGGCUAUCAUCAGUUGAAAGUUCACGAGCAGGAUGUACCGAAGACUGCUUUCCGUACUCGUUAUGGGCAUUUCGAAUUCCUUGUCAUGCCAUUUGGUUUGAGAAAUGCUCCUGCUGUAUUCAUGGAUAUGAUGAAUCGAGUAUGCCACCCAAUGCUCGAUAAAUCAGUCAUCGUAUUCAUUGACGAUAUUCUAAUCUAUUCCAAGUCUGAAGCUGAUCAUGCCAUUCAUAUUCAUGUAGUAUUGGAACUUCUUCGAAAGGAGAAACUAUAUGCUAAAUUCUCAAAAUGUGAAUUUUGGCUUCGCCAAGUUCAAUUUCUCGGCCAUGUUAUUUCUAGUGAUGGUGUAUCUGUAGAUCCUAUCAAAAUCGAAGCCAUUCAAAAUUGGGAAGUGCCCCGUAAUGCUUCCGAAAUUCGCAGUUUCUUGGGUCUCGCAGGAUAUUACCGGAGAUUCAUUAAAGACUUUUCUCGUAUAGCCGUAUGUCACACCCCCAAACCAGACGGCGGAAACGUCCGGGGGUGGAGGACUUCAUUUGUAGUAUCACAACACAUGCAUCAUAGUAAUCAAAGUACAAACAACCAUUGUAUUUAAAAGUAUAAUAUUUACAUGUGUUCAAUCAUUGUAUAUUGAAACCAAAACAGUUAUACAAAGGAAGAAGAUAAGACUCAUAAUGGCUCCAUCUUCUCAAAAAGCUCGGGGAGUACCUGUUAUUAUUUCCCUGAGAAUACAAGUAAUUUGAAAAGAGAGUAUCAACAAUAAGUUGAGUGAGUACAUAAGUCUUUAUGUUUGCAUCGGUGUCUUUCUAUUUUGAAUAAGAAAACAGUUCUAGAAAAUCCCAUAUUUUCUGUGGUAUGUGAAAAGUAGUUUUAUUCUCAUAAAACCGUCCUAUUUGUAAACCAUUGUAUUUGUAAAACUUGUAUUUGAGAGUGUGCCUGGCUUCACCAGCUGUUAUUGAAAACUGUAGUAUACCAUUGUACUUUGUAUUUUGUAAACUUGUACUUUGAAGAUGUACUUUAUUUGUUAUACACUAACGUGUGGUUAAUAUCUUUUUAAUGAGUUAUUAUAACCAUACUAAGACAUGAACGCCUGAAACAAACGCCUUGUGAGCGCUUAAACUGUUGAUAACAAUUGCCACUCAUUGGCGUGUAUGCCUGACUGUAGCUAGCAGCCUGAGUGCGGGGUUGUCAAUCCCGAUAUAGAUCUACACACAACUUGUUUCGAUCCCCGGACUGGAGAUUCUGGUUAUAAUGUCAGGGCUUUACCUUGGUUGUCUAAACUGAAUCUAAACAACCUGAAUUGAAUGUCUCAUAAAAAGCAUAUAAACGUUACAUGUAUAUUAGUUAUGAAAACCCAAUCAUUCUGAAAUAAAUGAUUGACAGUAUGUUCUUGACUUAGUAUCCCGAACAUGUAUUUGAUAAGUGUAAACCCUUGAUUUGUUUUGAAUUAAAACCCUUGUUGCAUGUAAAACAGUGUAUUCAUAUGAAUUAUCGCUCUAUGUAUCAUAAAUUAUACCUAUUAUAAUUUAUAUGUACUUUAUGAAUUUGUAAAUAAUUGUUUUUGCAUGUAAUCCUUUGCUUAACAUGUUACAAAGGGUGAUUAACUGAUGAAAUAAAUUUUAAUUUUAUAUACAUAUAUAAUUUUAUAUAUAAGUAAAAUUGGAACGACCUUCGGACAAGUAACUGGUACUAUAAGUCCACAUCCAGACAAGGAAAAGGACCUAGAAUGAAUUAUUAGUCCUAAGCCAUUUAAAUCUUAUUUAUAUUAAAUUAUAUAUACAAAUAUGUAUAUUUGGGAAAAAUAUAAGUUUAUAAAAGAGUUCAAUAUUUGAAGUAUUUUUGAUGCUUUAAAAUCAUUUUAUCGUGAUUUGAAAUCAUUUAUUUAUAACACAAAGUUGUUGUGUUAUACUUGUAUUUCCCCCCUUAAAACAGUAGAAAUUAUGAAAAUACGGGGGUAUGAACUCACUUGAUAGGUGGUAAUUCGGACAGGGUUUCGUUUCACGAAAAGGAGUUUAUUUGUCGAGAAACCGGCUCAAAUCGGGCAGAGUUUUGACAGGAGAGAGGAUGAAUUCUCGAGAAUUUCGGGGCUUCACGGCUUACUUCGGGCUCGAGUCUUGAUACCGGGGCUUUAAGGGUUGUAUAUAAGCUUAAGGGUGUGGAAAAAGUGAAAGAGAGUAAAAUUUGGGGUGAAAAGUGUAAAAAAUCCGGAAACCCUCGCAUGCCUUAUAUAGGCCGAAGCCUCGGAUCCGAAGCUUGUGCGAGGCUAUGCGAGGCUGACAUUCUGCGAAGGGAAGCAGCUUCGGUUCGGAGGUGGUAGGCUCGGAUUGGUCUAGCCCUCGGUCCAAUGCAAAGAAGCCACGUGNGGAUUGGUCUAGUCCUCGGUCCAAUGAAAAGAGGCCACGUGCGAAGGGGUGUCCGAGGGUGAUGCGAGGCGUGUGCGAGGAGCAUCCCCGGUGUGUCUCCUUGUGAGGCUGUCCGAGUGGGAUUGGACCGCAGAGGUGGCUGAAUCAGGAGAUGACACGCGAUACUUUGGUCCACUCAGCAGCCGACACGUGGAGGCUCGCAUGCGAGGGGUGACGUGGCGCUACUGUUCAUGCGAAUUUUCCCGGGUAUUUCUAUUUUUCUUUAUUUUUUUGCCAAAACUUGUAAAAUUCAUAACUUUUGCAUACGAACUCCGUUUUUGACGUUCUUUAUAUGCACGCGUAGCUAAAAUUAUACUCUACGACUUUCGUUUUGACUUCGUCGGCUAAUUUUGAAUUUAUUUUUAAUAUUAUUAUUUUAAACAGAUCGGGACGUGAAUCCGUUAUAAAUUCAUAACUUCUUCAUACGACGUCCGUUUUUGUCUGUCUUUUUACCGUUGUACUACUAAUGACGAGACCUUCAAUUCUCGUUUAGGUCAUGUCGGCUAAAAACCACUCGAUCUUUAUUUCGAGUUUUUAGCUGUACACUGCUAUACUGAAACUUCGAAAAAUCAUAACUUCCUCAUACGAAGUCAGAUUUUGGCGUUCUUUUUAUGAAAGUUCUCGGUUUAACAUAAACUAUAACUUUCAUUUAGAUUGUUAAGGCUAGAAAGCCUUUUAUCAAAAAUUAUUAAAUAAUCUUAAUUGGGUUAAACCAAGUGAUAGAGAUUGUAAUAAGGUUUCCAACAAUAUAACGAACACUAAAAUCCGAGUUAUAACGAAGAAGUUAUGACCAAUCGAAGAUCCGCGAUAAAACCGGUACGGCGCCGAAUGACGUAAAAAGUGAGUUUUUUAUAAAAUACUUUUUAGCCUUAGUAAUCUAAAUGAAAGUUUUAGUAUUCGUUAAACCGAGAAGUUCGAUAAAAAGAACGCCAAAAUCUGACUUCGUAUGAGGAAGUUAUGAAUUUUCGAUGUUUCAGCUUAGCAGUAGACAGCUAAAAACUCGAAUUUUAGAUCGAGUGAUUUUUAGCCGGCACAACCUAAACGAGAAUUGAAGGUCUUGUCAUUAGUAGUACAACGGUAAAAAGUCUGACGAAAACGGACGUCGGAUGAAGAAGUUAUGAAUUUUUAACAGAUUUUCCUGUCCCGGUCUGUUAAAAAUAAUAAUAUUAAAAUUAAAUUCAAAAUUAGCUGACGAAGUCUAAACAAAAGUCGUAGAGCAUAAUUUUAGCUAUGCGUGCUUAUAAAGAACGUCAAAAACAAAGCUCGUAUGUAAAAGUUAUAGAUUUUACAAGAUUUGGCACAUUUUCGAGAAAAUUCGCAUGAAUAGUAAUGCCACGUCAGCCCUCGCAUGUAGCCUCCACGUGUCACCUUCUGAUAGGACCGAGGUUUCUGUGUCGCCUUUUGAUUGGACCAAGUCCGAGGUCCACUAAGCGAGGGACACCUUUGCGUGAGACACCUCCGGAUCACCCUCGCACCAACGUGGAGCCUGCCCAUUGGACCGAAGUUGGGUCCAAUCCGAGGCUGCCGUCAGCGAGCCUGCUGUUCCGAGCCGAAGACCGAGCCGAAGACCCAGCCGAUGACGCACCUGAAGCUGAUGACUCCUCGCAUUCGAGCCUCGCCGAAGCUGCCAUCUGGUCCGAGCCUCGCGGCCACCUGCCCUCUUCCCUUCGCUUCGGAUCCGAACCUCGGCCCUAUAUAAGGGGUGCGAGACCUCCCGGGUAAAUGUUUGAAAUUUGGCCUUUUUCACCCCUAAACUUAUAUUUCUUCUACUUCCACUUCCCCCAAAGCCUUGAUACUAAUUCCAAAGCCCAAAACACGCCGCGAGACUCCUGAGAAGCCCGAAAAAUUUAUCUUUUCGGUUUCGAAGUUCUACCUUCGCAGAGCCCGGUUUUCAACGACGAAAGUCAUAUUUAGAGCCGAAGUACUGCCCAAAUUAAUAUUUUAGCCCCCGGUUAUUUCACGGUGAGUUUAAUAUAUAGAAAUAAUUGUAUGUUAUGUGUUAUAUGUGCUACGUGCUUUUCAGUGUUAUUAUUCCGGGUCAUUUUCCCGGGUUAUUUUUAUUCGCUAUUUUUAAUAGCAAAGAAAUACCUUUGACCAUGUGAUCAGUGAAAGGACUUAGAUUCACGUUGGUACUGGUAUGUAGCCUCUGUCCAUGUGGAACAUGUCUCCGUAAGAGAAUGAAUUCUAUUCUAUGAUAGUGGCAGAAGGUUAGACAGGGCUAUAAGCUUGAAAUCUACGAAAAUGUUAAUC
rnacentral:lncRNA from 1 species